GAUGAACGCUGGCUACAGGCUUAACACAUGCAAGUCGAGGGGAAACGACGGGGAAGCUUGCUUCCCCGGGCGUCGACCGGCGCACGGGUGAGUAACGCGUAUCCAACCUGCCUCUGACUGAGGGAUAACCCGUCGAAAGUCGGCCUAAUACCUCAUGGCAUCGUCUGCGGGCAUCCAACGACGAUUAAAGAUUUCCUCGGUCAGGGAUGGGGAUGCGUCUGAUUAGCUUGUUGGCGGGGUAACGGCCCACCAAGGCUACGAUCAGUAGGGGUUCUGAGAGGAAGGUCCCCCACAUUGGAACUGAGACACGGUCCAAACUCCUACGGGAGGCAGCAGUGAGGAAUAUUGGUCAAUGGGCGGGAGCCUGAACCAGCCAAGUAGCGUGCAGGAGGACGGCCCUAUGGGUUGUAAACUGCUUUUAUGCGGGGAUAAAGUGAGGGACGUGUCCUUCAUUGCAGGUACCGCAUGAAUAAGGACCGGCUAAUUCCGUG
rnacentral:rRNA from 1 species